rnacentral:rRNA from 1 species
AUUGAACGCUAGCGGGAUGCCUUACACAUGCAAGUCGAACGGAGUGGCGAACGGGUGAGUAAUGUAUCGGAACGUGCCCAGUAACGGGGGAUAACUACGCAAAAGCGUAGCUAAUACCGCAUACUAUUGGAGCGGCCGAUAUCGGAUUAGCUAGGUGGUGGGGUAACGGCUCAACAAGGCGACGAUCCGUAGCUGGUUGGAGAGGACGACCCGCCACACUGGGACUGAGACAAGGCCCAGACUCGUUAGGGAGGCAGCAGUGGGGAAUGUUGGACAAUGGGGUAAACCCUGAUCCAGCCAUCCCGCGUGUGCGUUGAAGGCCUUCGGGUUGUAAAGCACUUUUGGCAGGAAAGCGGUACCUGCAGAAUAAGCACCGGCUAACUACGUGCCAGCAGCCGCGGUAAUAC